AGAGUUUGAUCAUGGCUCAGGAUGAACGCUAGCUACGGGCUUAACACAUGCAAGUCGAGGGGCAGCAUGAUCAAAGCUUGCUUUGGUUGAUGGCGACCGGCGCACGGGUGAGUAACGCGUAUCCAACCUUCCCCUUAGUAGGGCAUAGCCCGUAGAAAUGCGGAUUAAUACCCUAUGUUGUUCGUAGAGGACAUCUGAAAUGAACCAAAGGUUUACCGCUAAGGGAUGGGGAUGCGUCUGAUUAGGUAGUCGGCGGGGUAACGGCCCACCGAGCCUUCGAUCAGUAGGGGUUCUGAGAGGAAGGUCCCCCACAUUGGAACUGAGACACGGUCCAACCUCCUACGGGAGGCAGCAGUGAGGAAUAUUGGUCAAUGGGCGCGAGCCUGAACCAGCCAAGUAGCGUGCAGGAUGACGGCCCUAUGGGUUGUAAACUGCUUUUAUACAGGGAUAAAGUAGGGAACGUGUUCCCUUUUGCAGGUACUGUAUGAAUAAGGACCGGCUAAUUCCGUGCCAGCAGCCGCGGUAAUACGGAAGGUCCGGGCGUUAUCCGGAUUUAUUGGGUUUAAAGGGUGCGCAGGCGGACAGUUAAGUCAGCGGUGAAAUCUCACGGCUCAACCGUGGAACUGCCGUUGAUACUGGCUGUCUAGAGUACGGACGGCGCCGGCGGAAUGUGUCAUGUAGCGGUGAAAUGCUUAGAUAUGCCACAGAACACCGAUCGCGAAGGCAGCUGGCGAGGCCGGUACUGACGCUCAGGCACGAAAGCGUGGGGAUCAAACAGGAUUAGAUACCCUGGUAGUCCACGCAGUAAACGAUGAGGACUUGUUGUCGGCGAUAGAAUGUCGGUGACAAAGCGAAAGCGAUAAGUCCUCCACCUGGGGAGUACGAUCGCAAGGUUGAAACUCAAAGGAAUUGACGGGGGCCCGCACAAGCGGAGGAGCAUGUGGUUUAAUUCGAUGAUACGCGAGGAACCUUACCUGGACUCAAAUGCAGUCUGACGGGCGUAGAAAUAUGCCUUUCCUUCGGGACAGACUGCAAGGUGCUGCAUGGUUGUCGUCAGCUCGUGCCGUGAGGUGUCAGGUUAAGUCCUAUAACGAGCGCAACCCCUACGUCCAGUUGCCAGCGGGUAAAGCCGGGGACUCUGGAGGGACUGCCGGCGCAAGCCGAGAGGAAGGUGGGGAUGACGUCAAAUCAGCACGGCCCUUACGUCCAGGGCGACACACGUGCUACAAUGGCCGGUACAGAGGGCAGCCACCCCGCGAGGGGGAGCGAAUCUCGAAAGCCGGUCUCAGUUCGGAUCGGAGUCUGCAACUCGACUCCGUGAAGUUGGAUUCGCUAGUAAUCGCGCAUCAGCCAUGGCGCGGUGAAUACGUUCCCGGGCCUUGUACACACCGCCCGUCAAGCCAUGAAAGUCCGGGGUACCUGAAGUCCGUGACCGAGAGGAGCGGCCUAGGGUAAAACGGGUAAUUGGGGCUAAGUCGUAACAAGGUAACCGUA
rnacentral:rRNA from 1 species